rnacentral:rRNA from 1 species
AGCGAACGCUGGCGGCAGGCCUAACACAUGCAAGUCGAACGAAGUCUUCGGACUUAGUGGCGGACGGGUGAGUAACACGUGGGAACGUGCCUUUAGGUUCGGAAUAACUUAGGGAAACUUGUGCUAAUACCGAAUGUGCCCUUCGGGGGAAAGGUUUAUCGCCUUUAGAGCGGCCCGCGUCUGAUUAGCUAGUUGGGGAGGUAAAGGCUCACCAAGGCGACGAUCAGGAGCUGGUCUGAGAGGAUGAUCAGCCACAUUGGGACUGAGACACGGCCCAAACUCCUACGGGAGGCAGCAGUGGGGAAUCUUGCGCAAUGGGCGAAAGCCUGACGCAGCCAUGCCGCGUGAAUGAUGAAGGUCUUAGGAUUGUAAAAUUCUUUCACCGGGGACGAUAAUGACGGUACCCGGAGAAGAAGCCCCGGCUAACUUCGUGUCAGCCGCCGCAGUAA